GGCCACCUAUAACACAUCUGUUUUGAAUAUUAAAUGAGAUAGCCAUUAAUAGAUUAAUGUAUAAAGUGUCUGAAAUGUAUUAGCACUUAACAAACAUUAAUGCUCUCUCUUCCAUCUAAUCACAUGCACACAUGCCCACGCACACACACACACACAUACACACACACACAAGUGGCUUUAAUCAGUAACAGAAAGUGAAAUGUUGAUGAAUCCUAGUUUUUUUUAAUUGCAAAGUGUGUGAAAGCCAAGCAUACUUGCAGAAACUGGAGAUUGUUUUUAUUUACUCAGAGACAAUACUGACUUUAAAGAAAACAAAAUAUCUAAACUAACAAUGGAAGCAUAAACAUCGCCCUCAAUGAUGGUCAUUGUGGUGUCCCUGUCUUCAGACAGUGGCCACCUCUGUGCUUUAACCUGGACCAAAGCCUCUGAAUUCUGCCGCCCUUAAUGGUGACAGGCACCUGCAGGAUAGCCUAAGUCCCCAACACCAGCAUGGCCUCCAGGUUUUGGCGACAAGAUUCCUCUCAUCAGCAUGUCUGCAACGCUCCUUUCUCUUAGGAGAUAUGUUGACUCAUUAUACCUAUUUUUAAUAAAAAGGCAAAUUUAAGCCUUAAUUUGUAUUUUAAAAUAAAUUAUUUUAAGGCAUGGACCCACUAGGGAAUUAGUUACAAAUGGUUUUUAGUGGUACACAUUUAAUGAACAUUUAACCAAAGAAAGAAAAUUGCUGGUAUGCAUAAUUUCUUUUUUUUAACCAGCUGAGUAUAUAAAUCCAAUCUGUCCUUUCUCUUUAACUACUUUUGCCAUAAAACCACUUAUUUUACGGCUGUGGUGACAUAGCACGGCUGUUUCACUUUAUGAUUAAUAAAGUAAUUAGCACCAGUUCUAAUAUUCUUAGCAAAAAGGCUGGGCUUUAGAUAUUUCUGUUGCACUAAUAGGUUUUCUAAAGCUACGUGGCGCACAUGGAAGAUGGCCUGCUGGGGCCUGCAGAAUGCAUUUUCUAAUGUACAUCGUCAAGAUCAAUUGAUAAAUUACGUCAGUCUGGGUUAGUCAUCAUACAGAAAAUAUCAUUAGAGAUGAAAAAGGAAUGAAAGGAUGUGGGCAGGGGUAAUUUGGUUUUCAUUGUUGAUUUCUGUUAUAGAACUAUUCUUGUAGGCAAUUACCAAAACACAAAAUGCCAGGGAAAAUAAAAAACUCUGGAAAAGAAGAGCCUAUUAGAACAAGAUAUGUGGUAAACAGACAAGAAUGAUAGCUCUUUUGAAACAGUAUCCCAUGGAGUCCAACUGGGGAGCAUAUUUCUGACUCUGCACACAGUGUCUUUGGGGCCACGCCAAAUGCAGAACUGGAUCAUGAGCUCCGUUACGUCCUUCCUUCUGAAAUGUGUUUUCUUAGUGUGUCUUUGAGGACAAUGCAGGGGUGCAGGUCACAGCAAAGGUGUGCUGGGAAGAGAGCCACCGUGGUCCGAGGAAUUGCAGUGUUGAUUCCUCUUGGAAACGUGAGGAUGCUGAGCUCAUUCACAAGGGAAACUCUGGGCCCUUUGUAGUUGCAAAACUAAAAAUAAAAAAUUGCAUUUAUGCAUGGACAUUGCUGAAAAA
rnacentral:lncRNA from 1 species